rnacentral:rRNA from 1 species
UACGUAGGGUGCAAGUGUUAAUCGGAAUUACUGGGCGUAAAGCGUGCGCAGGCGGUUUUGUAAGCCUGACGUGAAAUCCCCGGGCUUAACCUGGGAAUUGCAUUGGAAACUAGCGGGCUGGAGUGUGGCAGAGGGGGGUGGAAUUCCACGUGUAGCAGUGAAAUGCGUAGAGAUGUGGAGGAACACCGAUGGCGAAGGCAGCCCCCUGGGCUAACACUGACGCUCAUGCACGAAAGCGUGGGGAGCAAACAGG